rnacentral:rRNA from 1 species
GAUGAACGCUGGCGGCGUGCCUAAUACAUGCAAGUCGAGCGAACAGACGAGGAGCUUGCUCCUCUGACGUUAGCGGCGGACGGGUGAGUAACACGUGGAUAACCUACCUAUAAGACUGGGAUAACUUCGGGAAACCGGAGCUAAUACCGGAUAAUAUAUUGAACCGCAUGGUUCAAUAGUGAAAGACGGUUUUGCUGUCACUUAUAGAUGUAUCCGCGCCGCAUUAGCUAGUUGGUAAGGUAACGGCUUACCAAGGCAACGAUGCGUAGCCGACCUGAGAGGGUGAUCGGCCACACUGGAACUGAGACACGGUCCAGACUCCUACGGGAGGCAGCAGUAGGGAAUCUUCCGCAAUGGGCGAAAGCCUGACGGAGCAACGCCGCGUGAGUGAUGAAGGUCUUCGGAUCGUAAAACUCUGUAAUUAGGGAAGAACAAAUGUGUAAGUAACUAUGCACGUCUUGACGGUACCUAAUCAGAAAGCCACGGCUAACUACGUG